ensembl:lncRNA
AUGGUAAUUCCUUUGUUAACGUCUCGUUUCUUCGGGGACAGUAUUGUUUGUAUCAGUUAUGGAACAGCCAAAAAUCAUCAUGAUUACACACACACACACACACACACACACACACACACACACACACACACACACACACAUAUAAUUUUUAAACAACAGGUCAGUAAACUAGUUAAUUAAGAGACUUGCGUUUUAGACACCAUAUUGCCUGUUUUUGCUCAAUUUGUACAACAAAAAAUAAUUCCAAACACAGCCACCAAAGUGGGGAAGUCGUGGCCUAAUGGUUAGUGAGUUGGACUCCCAAUCGAAGGGUUGUGAGUUCGAGUCUCGGGCCGGCAGGAAUUGUGGGUGGGGGGAGUGCAUGUACAGUUCUCUCUCCACCUUCAAUACCAUGACUUAGGUGCCCUUGAGCAAGGCAUCGAACCCCCAACUGCUCCCCGGGCGCCGCAGCAUAAAAAUGGCUGCCCACUGCUCCGGGUGUGUGUUCACAGUGUGUGUGUGUGUUCACUGCUCUGUGUGUGUGCACUUCGGAUGGGUUAAAUGCAGAGCACGAAUUCUGAGUAUGGGUCACCAUACUUGGCUGAAUGUCACGUCACUUCACUUUCAAAGCACAGUUUUGCGUUUCUGAGCAACCUGACUGUUUCAUUACUGAAUGAAUCAACUGUUUAAAUGAUUCGGUUAAAACGCAAUGACUCACUUAUUAACAGUGACUUGCUGACACAUACUGGCCAUUUUAAUUUCACAUUUAAAGUAUCUUUUGAUUUUUUUUUUGUAAUAAUUAAUUUUUUAUAAUUUCAAAUGAGUAUUCAACAUUUUAUGUCUUGUAUAUCAAAACAUUAUUCAUGCAUUUGUAACUGCAGGUUAAAUGCAUUGUCCUGCACUAAACAGUGUGUAAAUACAUCUAAAUGCCACUUCCGAUGAAGCUUCUGCAUUUCCUCUGCAUUGAAAAGAUGAGUUUGUUGAUACUGAUUUCCCUGUUAACAGCCUAAAUGUCUUAUUAUUCUAAACAACUGAUUCCUUUAAUUAAAAACAACUAGUUUGAGAUUAAUAGGCCUAUCCCAGGGGUGUCAAACUCAGUUACUGGAGGGCCGUAGCCCUGCAGAGUUUAGUUCUAACCCUGCUCCAGCACACAUAUCAUGUAGUUUUCAAAUAAGCCUAAAUGAUUAGAUUAGCUGGAUCAUAUGUGUUUAAUUAGGGUUAUAUCUAAACUGUGCAGGACUGUGGCCCUCCAGGAACUGAGUUUGACACCCUUGCCUGUCACAUUUUUACCUCCCUUCCACUGUUAAAAUGUAACUAAGUAAUUUUUACUCUGAGUAAAUUUUAAAUGAGCUACUUUUUACUUUUACUUGAGUAGAUUUUUAGACUGGUACUUUUACUUGUACUUAAGUAAAAUUUCAUUAAUGUAAUGGUACUUUUACUUGAUUAGAAUAUUUUUGUACUCUUUCCACCUCUGCGUUUAUCUAUACUUUAUAUACCACAAAUAUGUAUAUUAAGAUAGCUUGUUACAAUACGAUCAUAUUUUUCCUUUGCGUUAUAUCUUGCAGCUUUAGUAAUUAGUUUAUUGUUGUUGACAGACAUAUGUACAAUGAGACAAAACGAUGACCGCGUAUGCAUCGAAGGUGAAGACCUCAGAGUUGGUAGUUUGUAAGUCUGAGGUAUCGGCGUCCUUUUUGUGCAAUACAGUACAGAAUACAUCCUGUAAGUAUGAUAAUUAUUACCACCUCUCCUAUUACUACUGAAGAUCAAUUUACAAUCUAUGAAGACGAUUAGACCAAAAAAAAAAAAAAACUAAUUUAGAGUUUGUUUCUACCUUUCUGCUAGGUAUCCAACUAAUGCAGAGUAUAUUAAAGUUGGAAAUUGCAUUGUUUUUAAUCCAUUGAUUUAUCUCUAUCAACAUAAUCACACACGAUAUUGUAGUAACAAUAUAUUGUAAUCUUUAUUUGCUGGAAAAUGACAAUCAGUCAAAUUUGUGUUUUAAGCACACCUGACACAUCCCUAAACCGGAAAUUUAAAGCAGAACGUGCACCACUUGCAGGUUAUUGUAGCAUAUGUAAGCACACUGCCAUAUGCAUAAUUUAUUUUUGCACUGUUAAUAAAUUUUACAUUUUCACUUAGUGCAGGUCAAUGUAAGGAAGAUACUGUACUACAGAUAUUUAAAUCUUUUUUUGUAUAUACUCCACUUUUUCACUGCCUGACCAUCAUCUUAAUGUUAAUGCAGUUCAAUGUUUUUAUUAUUUUUUUAUUUCUAAAGCACCUUGUUCAAUAAGUAUUUAGAUGUUUCGCAUAUCUGUCAUGGUCUAAGCAU